CUCUUCCUCUCUCUCUUCCUUCUCCCUCAACCUUUCCCCCUUUACUCUCUUUUCUCCCCUCUCUCUUAUUUAUUCUUUCCCCACUUUUUUUGUUUAAGACUCUGUGACCUUUUGUCACUCAAGCUGGAGGUACAAAGCCUCAUGAGCCUGAUUCCAUUGCUUUCACUUGUCUUUCCAACCUGGGUCAGUUCACUUAACGGCAGCACCUUUGGAACUCAAGAUAUUGGUGCUAGACUUAGUGUGGACAACCAGUUGGCUGUAGCCCACUGCAACUCUAUGGAGUUCCAGCUUCCCCAAUGGCAGGGACUACAGGUUGUUUUGUGCUACAUGGAUGAAAUAAAGCUGUCAAUAGAAAAAUCAAGAACUUCAAGUUUUAUCUCAUUUCAAGGAACAAAAGUUCAUGUAAUGUGAUAGGCACCAUUCAAAGCAAUUCAGCCCCUAUAAUAAUUAAAAUCAAAUUUUCAACUUGGUGGUGAGUAGCACUCAAUUGUGUCUACUCUGUUUUCCCUGCUUAUCCUUCUUAAACUUGGGAUUGUUGAAUUCCAAUACUUAGAGUAAUGUAACAACACCUAAUUUAUAUAUAUAUAUGGCUUGUUUUUAUAGCCUUUUUAAAAUCAAGUAAAAAACCUGGAAAAAAUUUUCUCUUUACAUGGACUUUAUUGUUGUAUUCUAUCUCCAGGAAAAUCCUUAAAACUCUCAAAAUGACAUGCUUAUAAUUUUGAAAUUAUCAUAACACUUUUUAAAUAAAGAAAGCAGGUGAAAAUUUUGUUUUGAUCUGAAGCUUCUUCUUGGUUGCAUUGCCCAGAGAUAUAAAACAUAGUAAUGAGUCAGUGUGUCUUAAAAAAAGAAUUGGAAAAAGACAAAAAAAAUCACUGAUAUGAUUUGAGGCCGGUGUGUGUUUGCAUUAUUUUCAGUUUUAGGCCAGGCUUAGUUUACAAACUACAUAUUUAUUUGUAUAACAUAAAAACCAAAAAUCUCUUACUAAAACUUUGUUGCAAGGUUAGCUAGUUUUAAACCUAGUAACCUUGAUGCCUUAAAAGAUGUUUCAUAUUUAUAAACUACUUCCGUUGUCAUCAGUGCAUUUUGAGACAAAAAGAAAAAAUAUUCAGAUUAGCCAGAAUUUCUCUCCCUGUGGUCAGUCAGUAAAUGUUCAUUGUGCAUUUACUCUUCUGAGUACUAUGCUAGGUUCUGCAGGAGAUGGAAAAAAAGGCAUAGGAAAGUUUUCCUAGCUAAAAUCGUUUUCUAAUAACAUUGUUAAUGUGUAAUUAAUAACAUUGUUCCUAUGUAACUGAAACAUUGCUUCACCACCUAAUGUAAUUUUUUUGUGGAAUUAAUUGAAGCAUUAAAUGAAAUGUACCUUUAGAUAAUAUGGUCUUGUUUAGAGAAUAAGACUAUGGCAUAGAACUCAACAAGUCAUUUAAGACAAUAUUUAAGUGCCACACAGUCUUGAGUAGUAUAGGAAUUAGAAAGCAGAAAGUCAAUAAGAGUUAUUGUACUUGAGUUUGCUUUUCAGGAUGCUUUACUUUCCUCUCCACUAUCUAAAUCCUACCCAUCUUUUAAGAUGGGCCUUCUUUAUGAAAAUCUCCCUGCUAAUCUUAACCCUUUUGAGAAGCUUCAUAGCAAUGAAAAGAGCAAAAGUAUAGGAAUCAGGAAGCUUGGAUUUACACGGUUAUGAUUGGGAGCAAACAAGUCACUUAAUCUCUCCAAAUAUCAGUUUUCUUAUCUGUAAAAAUGGGGAUAAUACUAACACAUUUAAAAAAAAAAAAAAAAAAAAAAACCUUAGAGGACAUCCUCCACUGUUUUGUCUAGGAUCCUCAACAUGGUUAAGAAGUACAUAGGACCUGAUGGGUUUUUAUGGGUGGAGACACCACUGGAGGAAAGUCAUUGGGAUAUGAGAGGUCUUCUAAGCCACAGUACUUGCAUUACCUACCUCACAGGGUUGUUGUGAGGAAAAUGCUUUGUAAACCCAAGCUUUAUACAAAUGUCAGUCCUUAUUAAUAAAGAAAGCUUUCAUAU